AUGAGCUCUCAUGCGUGUUCUCCAGAAGAUGUGCAGCACCAGCAGGUGACCCAGUCCUCCAUCCUCCUCCGGCUUCAGGAGGCCACCAAACCGUCUCCAGCGGACAGCGAGAGCUGGAGUUCUGGACCGUCACAUGUAGAGCGUGAAGACAGCGGGUCACUCGUCCUCUCCGGGGGUCAAGAGUCUGAGUUCGGCACGAAAACCCGUCUGUGCUGCACAUCGAGGGCAGUUCUGAUCGGGAUCAAACAUUUGUCAUCACCUCCAGCUACAGUGAAGAGAUCCAGCGCUGGAGGAGGAGCAGGAGCAGCUGGACACAGAGGAGCAGCUCCGAGGAGGAGAGCGACCGCUGCGGUGUGUCCCAGAGUAAGAUGUGUGUGUCCUGCCGCACGAGGAAGACUCCUCUCUGGAGAGACGCUGAGGACGGGACGCCGCUAUGUAACGCCUGUGGCAUCAGGUAUAAGAAGUACCGCGUGCGCUGUCAGCGGUGCUGGAACAUCCCCAAGAAGGACACAAACACACACUCCUCGCGUCAGAGAUGCGGCGAGGUCCUGAAGCUGAAGCGCAGCAGCUGCUAGACACUCAUGAGCUCCGGGACUGAUCGCUGCGGUUCACUCUUCACUUACUUAAUUUACACAUUUACUGCUGAAAAUAUUUAUUGAUUUGUCACAGUGUCUCUGAUUUGUGUUUGCGGCUGUGUUUGUGUUCAGAGGUUUUCUGUGCUGGAAUGAAAUAUUAAAUUAUAUAUAUAGUCCCCUGAUGUUGCAGGAUUAUUACAUGGAUGCUUUAUUAUACGGUGUAUGCAGAUGAAUGUGUGAAUCAGUGUUUGUGUGUGUGAGUGAGAUCAGAUCAUUGAACAGGCUUCAGUUCCUGCUUCUCUGAGCCUCAUUUGUUCAGCUCAGACGUUCUGCUGUAAUUGUGACAAUAAUUGACUCAAUUUGAGAGAAGUGAAGCUUUUUGUUGAUUUCCCGAAGGCUCCAGAGCCAGACGCUGGAGGUUUAGUCACUGGUUGGGUGAUUAUGUUGAGAAUCUGAUGAUCGUGAGGAUUGUUUGAGUUCUGAGGAGUGUGUAGAAGCUGUGACUGAUCGUGUUUGCGGUGAUGUUUCUGUCUCAUGGUCUGUGGCUUCUCUGUUGAGAUUAGGAUUUAGUUGUGAUUAGAAAAUGUAGAAAUUAGACAAAUGACAUUUCAGGGUCUUUAUGUUCACUCCCAAAACC
rnacentral:lncRNA from 1 species